GCCCAGAUGGCCCAGUUGGUAGAGCAUGUGACUCUCAAUCUCAGGGUCAUGAGUUCAAGCCUCACACUGGGUG
rfam:Ailuropoda melanoleuca scaffold354_19, whole genome shotgun sequence.